rnacentral:lncRNA from 1 species
GCAGAUAUUUAUGACUGGUUGGUGGUUAUGUCCGGAGCUAUAUCUCAAACGUCCCUUUCAAGAUCAUUCGUCAUUGAGGCUCGAUGCAUUGCUGGAGACAAAAGCAAAACAGGGCGUUAAGGUAUGCUUUAUAAGAUACAUUUCUUCCAGUGGAUUUGUUUUGUUUUAUAAUAAUCUCAAAAUGUUUUUUUUUUUUUUUUUUGGACAAUCCUAAAAUGUUUAUAAUAAUCUCAAAAUGUUUAAACUUUAAAAUUUGUUGCAGAUUUAUAUUCUUCUCUAUAAGGAAGUUCAAAUCGCCCUGAAAAUCAACAGUAUGUACAGCAAGAAACGGCUUCAAAACAUUCACAAGAACGUCAAAGUUCUUCGUUAUCCAGACCAUCUCUCCUCUGGCAUUUACCUCUGGUACAGACAGUAUAAAGUCCAAAACCCGUGGAUUUGCUUAACUUCUUAAGCUAUACCUAAAGUUAAAUUCUUUGACAUUUUCAGGUCACACCAUGAGAAGAUAGUGAUUGUAGAUUACCAAGUUUGCUUCAUCGGAGGAUUAGAUCUCUGUUUUGGCCGCUAUGAUACAGCGGAGCAUAAGAUUGGAGAUUGCCCUCCUCAUAUAUGGCCAGGAAAGGAUUAUUACAAUCCUAGGUAAGAUCCUGAACUUGUCUAAAUCUUUUCUAACAAAAAGAAUCAUAUUUCUUACCAAUGGUUAUAUCUAUCAUCAGAGAAUCUGAACCAAAUUCUUGGGAAGAAACGAUGAAAGACGAGCUUGACCGGAGAAAAUACCCAAGAAUGCCGUGGCACGAUGUCCACUGUGCUCUAUGGGGACCGCCUUGUCGUGA